rnacentral:tRNA from 1 species
GCCCGGAUGGCCCGGUGGUUAGGUGUUCGACUUACAAUCGUCCACGCUGGGUUCGAGUCCCAGUUGGGGCU